AUGACUCUACUUCCUGGGAUCAUUUCUAUAGUUCAUUAGUAGAGAAGUUUCUCUGAUUGUGUAGAGCACCUGAAACCAUGAAGAGGAGGCAGAGCAUCCUCUCCUGGGUGUGAAGCUGGUUCUAGGCGUUGCUUUUGCAACUGCCCUUUGCCACUGAUGAGCAGUCUUCUUCCUUUGGAAGUGAGAGGGAGAGGAUGAUGCAGUCUGAGUGGU